rnacentral:tRNA from 1 species
GACCUCGUGGUGCAACGGUAGUGCGUCUGGCUCCAGAUCAGAAGGUUGCGUGAUCAAGUCGGGGUCA